rnacentral:tRNA from 1 species
GGAGAGAUGACAGAGUGGCCGAUUGUGCAGCACUGGAAAUGCUGUGUACCCCGAAAGGGUACCGAGGGUUCGAAUCCCUCUCUCUCCGCCA